AGCUAUCUCCAUUAAAUAUGUUUAAUUUUCGAAUAGAACAAGAUUAUAUUAAGGUUAGGUUCAUUUUUGGAAUUAGGGUUUGUUAUUGGGCUAUAACAAUAACUCUGUUAUUUUUAUGACUUAUAACUAUAAUUUUAAUUCUUGUAUUAUUCAUCAUUAACACUAAAUUCGUAAUAGUAAACAUAAUUUGCUUAUAUUUUCAUGAUAUUUUAUCGGAAAGGAAAAGCAAUGCUGAAAAUCAGACUAAGAUAUUUUUUUAUGGGAAAUUUGAAGGUUUGCACUCAAAACGUGUCUACAAAUUUGUCAUUAUUAUUUGAUAGAAUGUAUAAUAAAAAACGUUGAUGGGGGCAGUUGCAAGUUAAACAUUAAAUUUACCAGGUUAAAGUUUAUUCUGGAACAGCACAUCUAAAGCACCUAGAGCAACUGUUUCAGGCAAAUUAAAGUUAUUGAUCAAGUUAUGGAAGACACUUCAAUGUUACCAUCGAUGAACAUGAAGAUUGAGAAGUCUCGGCUGGAUCCAUCUUGAAAACAAAUAUGAAACUUGAGCUGACAACUCUUAAAUUGAAAAAAAGUGAAUUUGAAGAGUACCUGAUGCCUCCAAUGUAAAAGCAGCCAAUGUUUCCAUAUGAAAGUGUUAUCAAAGAUAAGGAUGGAAAGUGUCAAUUCCAUUACUAUUCAAUCCUGAUGUUUCUUUUGUUGAAAAAAUAAAUAAACUAUUAAAAAUGAAUACACCAAACCAAGUGACAUUUAUAUUAGUUGGAAGUGUGUUAAUAAUUCGAAAAUUAUACCAACAGUUUAAUCAACUAUUAAAUUAUCAGGAGAUAAAGCAUGGUGGAAUGUGUAAAAAGAGAUGAAAGGCAGUGAUCCUUGGAGUUUGCUCUGUUUCUUAAUUUCCACGCAUGUGCCUAAAUCAAACGGCAAAACGUCGGAGCAAACAGUGAAAAUGAGUUGUCGAGGUGUCGAAAUUUGCUUAGGGGUAUCAUAAGAUACCAAAAUCUCAUCCCCUAUGACUAUUCGAAAUAUAGGUUUUCAUUGCAACUUAGAAAUGGAACUUACAUUGUGGAUGUACCUCGUAUGAAGGAAAUUCUAAAAUCAGUUAUUAAAACUUUUUAUUCAAAUUUUUCUAAAAUUUUCGGUCCGAAUUAUUGCAUCAAAUUUUGAUUGAAAUGAUAUUUUUUGUUAUUUAAUGAGUGAGCAGAACUUUGAUCAGUUAUUGUUGGUUUUUGUACUUUUGGGAAUUCUAGGAAUAUUUUAUUGAAAUUAAUAUAGAUACAGAUAUUAAUUAAUGAAGAAAAAUAGUUUGAAUUAAUUUUUGAAUAACUUUUUUAACAUUCAGAAAGUUUUAACAAACAUCCAAUUAAACUUACAAAACAAUGUUUUCGAAACCUUUAGGGAUCUUUUGAAAUAUAAAGUUAAAUUUGAAUAUUUUAUUUGUUGUUGUGAUUAGAAUUUUGUGUAAACAUUAUGGAAAUGGAAUGAAAUAUGAAAUCGAAAUGAAACAGUGUGAAAAAAUUAUAUCUCAAGAAAAAUUAUUAGAAAUCAAUCUAUAACUUUAAAUUAAAAGAAUUAUUUGAAAACAGUAAGUAUAUAAAAGUAUCUAAUUCUGAAUUUACAACUUUUAAUGGUUUACUAUGGAGUCUGGUAUGUUUAUUUUAGAUAUAUUUUAGGGACCAUCAUUACACCCUUUUUUUUGUUAAAAGUAUCCUUUAUUUUUCUACAUUGGUUAUCAAGAAUUUACAAGAGGUAUAAUACAUUUGAAAAACAACACAUGCAGUGCAGUUUAGGAACCUUUUUUAUCUGUUUGUAGAAUAGUUUGUUUACAUUAUAUCCAGGGUUUAAUACCAAUAACCAAAAAUGACAUGACUGUACAGCCCCUUCUUGGAUGCUUUGUCUUUGUUUGAAGAAUUGUGUGUUUACAUUUCAAUCUUAUUUUUGGCAUUUAUGAGAUUAUGUUCAACAGAAUUCCUAAAUAGAUAAGGACCACCCUACACUAUGAGAAAUUUUAAAAUCGCAGUAUUCUAGAUAAAUCUAAAGUAAUACCAAAAUAACUAUACAUGUUGAGGGUUUAUUACUAAUAAACGAAAAUUGACCGUUCAGACCCUUCUUAUAUGCCUUUGUCUUUAUUCCAAGAAUUUCUUGUUCACUUAAUGUUUCGAAUAUAUUUUUUUUAUAUAUAUAUGAGAUAGCAUUCAACAGAAUUCUUUCAGAAUGUUUAUUUAACUUGGAGAUAAGGACCACCCUACACUAUGAGAAAUUUUGAAAUCACUGUAUUCUAGAUGAAUAAUCGAUGGUAAUACCAUAAUAACUAUACUUGUUGAGGGUUUAUUACUGAUAAAGAAAAUUGACCGCCUUUGUUUUUGUUGGAAGAAUUUCUUAUUCACUUUGCAUUUCGAAUUGAUUUUUGAUAUUCCUGAGAAACAUAACGUUUAAUAGAAUAUUUUCUCAUAUUGUUUAACUAAUUUGGGGAUGGGGACCACCCCUCAUCCUUGGGAAAUUUUCAAAACAAAUAAAUAAACAAUCAAAAAUAAUACCAAGAUAACAAAAAUGUUUUGAUUUAUAUGCAGCCAUUCUUUUGAAACUUGAAAUUGUUUUAGUCAGUAUCAUUGUUCUAAAUUCUACGUUUUUUAAUUAAGAAAUAUUCUCAUGUACCUGUAAUCACUCAUGAAAUUACUAAUUCUAAAAACGAAGAUAUGUCGUAAUACAUUAAAAGUAUACAGAUUCCCAAAAGGAAAUUACUAUUAUUUGCUGCCCAUAAACUCUACUUAUAGAGUCAUUUAAUAAUAUUAAGUUAUUGUGAAUUGUAAUAAUUAAAUCUAUGUCAUGUUUUAUUGUAAGUAUUAUAUGUAUUAACACUAAUUAUUUAAAACUUUCUUAGAAUUAUUCUAAAAAUAUAUCUUGCUUUAUAUUACUUUAUUUAUUUUAUCUUUGAAAACACUAUUUUAUUCAAUAUGUAAAUUAUAUAACAAAAUAUGUAAUAUUUAAUUACUUAUUAUUUAAUAAAUCAAAACU